rnacentral:tRNA from 1 species
GCCUGGGUGGCUCAGUCUGUUAAGCGUCCGACUUCGGCUCAGGUCAUGAUCCUGUGGUUUGUGGGUUCGAGCCCCACAUCAGGCU